GUACUCGCAUCGGCGGUACAUGCACUAAAAUUGGAACGAUACAGAGAAGAUUAGCAUGGCCCCUGUGCAAGGAUGACACGCAAAAUC
rnacentral:snRNA from 1 species